AUUGCAUUUCCAAAGCAAUUCCAUAUUGUUCAUAACCUCUAUACAAUAGAUAUUAAAAUUGUAAGAAAAAUUAAGUUUUAUAACUUUAGACAUCUUUUAAUAUGCACCAAUUAUAAUUCUGUGUGUAUUAUAAAUAUUGUUGGAAAUGGGUAUGAUCACCUUUAGUUGUACUUUUCAUAAAUAUACAUUCCACUUUAAUAAGGACCCAGUGCUUAAUUUUUAAUGACUACUAAGGACCCAGUGCUUAAUUUUUAAUGACUACUAAGGACCCAGUGCUUAAUUUUUAAUUACUACUGAGGACCCAGUGCUUAAUUUUUAAUGACUACUAAGGACCCAUUGCUUCAUUUUUAAUGACUACUAAGGACCCAGUGCUUAAUUUUUAAUGACUACUAAGGACCCAGUGCUUAAUUUUUAAUGACACAAAUUAAAGAACACAUGCAACUGGUCUUUAAAUUAUAAAAACAAACAUUUUCUAAGUUAGGUUGAUUAGCAUUUCAAUAUAGGUUGCUGAGGCAAAUGACAUUUUCCACUGUUUUAAGACAAUUUCAGUUUUCAUAAACUAUAAGACUGUCAGAUUGUCUAAAAUAUAUGACUUUAUUCAUUAAAAUUAUAUAUACUGUAUUAGAAAUAGAAGUGUGCUGGUCAUGUAAAGAGUAGAUAAAGUAAAGACAAUGCUCAUGAAUGUUAGGUUUGUCUUGAAAUAAUUUGAAAACCAUGUUAACCUCAUGCUAUUUACCAAAUAAUAUAUUCAUGUGUGACAGUGGUCACUUUGCUAGUAUAUUGUUUUAAUUCUUUUGUUUUGAGAGCUAAUUAAUAAUUCAUUUGGGUUUUUUUUCUUACUAGAUUGCUUGCUGUAAUGAAUCUCCUGACAUGAUAACCUACUAAUUUUUACAAUUAUUGAUAACGCUCUUACUCAUUCGACACGAGAGAAUGGGCCAUCACUCAAUAGGGAAGUUUGAUUAAUAAUUUACAAUUUGUUUUAUAUCAAUACUUAUAGAUAUAGGAAGAUAUGGUAUGAGUGCCAAUGAGACAACUCUCCAUCCAAAUAAAAAUUUAUAAAAGUAAACCAUUAUAGGUCAAUGUACGGCCUUCAACAUAGAGCCUUGGCUCACACCAAUCGACAAGCUAUAAAGGGCCCCAAAAUUACUUGUGUAAAACCAUUCAAACAGGAAAACCAACGGUCUAAUCUAUAUUUAAAAAAAACAAAAAAACGAGAAACAUGUAUAAAUUACAUAAACAAACUUAAAUCCUUACCAGAAGAAAAAUAAAUUCACUGUACAUAUGUAUGAGUGUUUGAAACUUUUUAAUCUUUUUUAAAGACUCAACA
rnacentral:lncRNA from 1 species